GUAGGUGGCAAGCGUUGUCCGGAAUUAUGGGCGUAAAGCGCGCACAGGUGGGGUCUUUAAGUCUGAUGUGAAAGCCCCCGGGCUCAACCGGGGAGGGUCAUUGGAAACUGGGGAACUUGAGUGCAGGAGAGGAAAGUGGAAUUCCACGUGUAGCGGUGAAAUGCGUAGAUAUGUGGAGGAACACCAGUGGCGAAGGCGACUUUCUGGCCUGUAACUGACACUGAGGCGCGAAAGCGUGGGGAGCAAACAGGAUUAGAUACCCUGGUAGUCCACGCCGUAAACGAUGAGUGCUAAGUGUUGGGGGGUUUCCGCCCCUCAGUGCUGCAGCUAACGCAUUAAGCACUCCGCCUGGGGAGUACGGUCGCAAAGACU
rnacentral:rRNA from 1 species